CUAGAUUGAACGCUGGCGGCAGGCCUAACACAUGCAAGUCGAACGGUAACAGGAAGAAGCUUGCUUCUUGCUGACGAGUGGCGGACGGGUGAGUAAUGUCUGGGAAACUGCCUGAUGGAGGGGGGAUAACUACUGGAAACGGUAGCUAAUACCGCAUAACGUCGCAAGACCAAAGAGGGGGACCUUCGGGCCUCUUGCCAUCGGAUGUGCCCAGAUGGGAUUAGCUUGUUGGUGGGGUAACGGCUCACCAAGGCGACGAUCCCUAGCUGGUCUGAGAGGAUGACCAGCCACACUGGAACUGAGACACGGUCCAGACUCCUACGGGAGGCAGCAGUGGGGAAUAUUGCACAAUGGGCGCAAGCCUGAUGCAGCCAUGCCGCGUGUAUGAAGAAGGCCUUCGGGUUGUAAAGUACUUUCAGCGGGGAGGAAGGGAGUAAAGUUAAUACCUUUGCUCAUUGACGUUACCCGCAGAAGAAGCACCGGCUAACUCCGUGCCAGCCGCAGC
rnacentral:rRNA from 1 species